rnacentral:tRNA from 1 species
GGCCUCAUAGCUCAGCUGGUAGAGCAUACGCGUACAAAGCGUAGGCGGUGUCCAUGCGUGGGUUCGAAUCCCACCGAGGCUA